rnacentral:rRNA from 1 species
UCGCUCUUGCAAAAACAAAAAAUAAGAGGUCCCGCCUGCCCUGUGACUAUAAGUUUAACGGCCGCGGUAUUUUGACCGUGCGAAGGUAGCGCAAUCACUUGUCUUUUAAAUGGAGACCUGUAUGAAUGGCAUAACGAGGGCUUAACUGUCUCCUUUUUCCAGUCAAUGAAAUUGAUCUCCCCGUGCAGAAGCGGGGAUAUUUACAUAAGACGAGAAGACCCUAUGGAGCUUUAGACACCAAAGUAGACCACGUUAAGGAUCCCUAAAUAAAGAAUUAAACCAAAUGGAACUCUACUCUAAUGUCUUUGGUUGGGGCGACCGCGGGGAAAUACAAAACCCCCACGUGGAACGGGAAUACUUUUCCUACAACCCAGAGCUCCCGCUCUAAUAAACAGAAAUUCUGACCAAUAAGAUCCGGCAAUGCCGAUCAACGGACCGAGUUACCCUAGGGAUAACAGCGCAAUCCCCUUUUAGAGCCCAUAUCGACAAGGGGGUUUACGACCUCGAUGUUGGAUCAGGACAUCCUAAUGGUGCAGCCGCUAUUAAGGGUUCGUUUGUUCAACGAUUAAAG